UACGGAAGGCAGCAGGUGGGGAAUAUUGCACAAUGGGCGAAAGCCUGAUACAGCUAUGCCGCGUGUAUGAAGAAGGCCUUAGGGUUGUAAAGUACUUUCAUCGGGGAGGAAAAAACAAAACUAAUAAUUUUAUUUCUUGACGUUACCCGAAAAAGAAGCACCGGCUAACUCCGUGCCAGCAGCCGCGGUAAUACGGAGGGUGCUAGCGUUAAUCAGAAUUACUGGGCGUAAAGAGCACGUAGGUGGUUUUUUUAAAGUCAGAUGUGAAAUCCCUGGGCUUUAACCUAGGAACUGCAUUUUGAAACUGAAAUACUAGAGUAUCGUAGAGGGAGGUAGAAUUCUAGGUGUAGCGGUGAAAUGCGUAGAUAUCUGGAGGAAUACCUGUGGCGAAAGCGGCCUCCUAAACGAAUACUGACACUGAGGGUGCGAAAGCUGGGGAGCAAACAGGGAUUAGAUACC
rnacentral:rRNA from 1 species